ensembl:lncRNA
ACCCCGCCAGAGUCUUCAUCGCUCUCCCGUCCACCUCGUCAGGCAGGUCAUCCCAGAUCAGCCCCUCUAGAGCCUCGGAGUUUGUCUGUAGGGUUAUGACCUCCGACACGACCUCUGUCACUCUCCCGUCCACCUCAUCAGCAACCUCCGGUAUCUCCCCGGUGAAGUCUUCCACGGGGUCCGUUGACAGAAGCCCUGGCACCUCCCCUCCCUCCUGUCCUUCUGCUGCCGUGCCUCUUAAACCCUCUGCCUGUGCCUCCUGCUCCUCCUCUUCCUCCUCCAGGAUCUCUUCAAAUAUCUCAGUGGUCUGGGCAUAAGACGACAGUGUUUCGUUGUAGACUUUGGAGACGUCUUCAGUGGGCACUGAUGUGGUAGCCUGGCAGGCUCUCUCCAGCAGCAGCAGAGACGUGGGCACCCUCCCUGCCUCCAUACCCACCUCCGUCAGGGGUUGGUAGUGAGGCGUGGCCCUCUCCUCCUCCAGCAGCCGGUACCCUUUGGACCGCAGGAUGGGGGAGGCGAUGGAGGGCAGGCCCCUCUGGGUCAACGGCUACAGCUAGCAUGUCAUGUACACCUCUAGCCCAUCCUUUUUUCGAGGCAGGGAAAAAUAAAAUGACCGAGGAGAGGAUCAACGAAUGUCACCGAGCAGUGACUAAGUUUGUGGUGAAAGGUUUGCACCCUUUUACUACGGUAGAUGCCCCAGAUUUUCGUUAGGUUAAUUUCUAGGAACAUGUUUAAAUUAAACAGAAUACAUUUUAUUUAAGUUAUGUAAGUUUUAUUUUAAGUUCAAGAGGAAUAUGUAUAAAUGUUUUUGGUUAUUUAAUUUUUUUUUAAUGUGUAUAUACAUACUGUAUAUGGUGUGUGCAGCAUUAUAGAAAAUUAUAUCAAAGAAAAUUAAUGUAAAUAAACCCGUUUGUGCUCUUUUUUUCACCCCUUGCCCAAUAAGAAUCGAUAAAAGAAUCGAUAAGGAAUCGAAUCAAUAAGCAGGAAUCGAUAAGGCAUCGGAAUCGUUAAAAUCUUAUCAAUU